UAGUGCAUUAUUCAUUUUCUCUGCAAUUUGUCUGUUGAAAACAGCUCAAAUCGCUUCCUCAAUCACAGAGGACCGCUCCAGCAGUGCCGUUUGCAAGCAAGUGCUGAAUAAGCUGGAGAAAACAUUUGGAGCCAUCUAAAAAGGUCAUUAUUUAUCAUGUUUACAUUGUCAUGGCUUGGUAAAACAGUUGCAUUUUCUUUCCUUCUUUUCUGCAGCUCCAUUUGGAAAUGUUAU